rnacentral:tRNA from 1 species
AGGGCGGUAGCUCAAUUGCAGAGCAGCGGUCUCCAAAACCGCAGGUUGCAGGUUCGAUUCCUGUCCGCCCUG